UACGUAGGGUGCAAGCGUUGUCCGGAUUUAUUGGGCGUAAAGAGCUCGUAGGCGGUCUGUCGCGUCGGAUGUGAAAACCCAGGGCUCAACCCUGGGCCUGCAUUCGAUACGGGCAGACUAGAGUAUGGCAGGGGAGACUGGAAUUCCUGGUGUAGCGGUGAAAUGCGCAGAUAUCAGGAGGAACACCCGUGGCGAAGGCGGCUCUCUGGGACGGUACUGACGCUGAGACGCGAAAGCGUGGGGAGCGAACAGG
rnacentral:rRNA from 1 species